rnacentral:lncRNA from 1 species
AUUUUUACCCACUGUGUUUAUACUAGGAAAACUGAAACUGGCAUUUAGUGCUUUAGUAAAUAUUUAUUGAAUAAAUGGCUAGAUAUACUGCUGACAAGAAUGGUUUGUAAACCAAUGCAACUUACUGUAGUACUUAAAAAUAGAUAUUAAUUUACUCGGCUUCAGGCGCUAAGUGGGGGUCUAGAAUUAAGAAAUAAUUUGUGAAAAAAACUAGAAGGUGCUCAGUUAAUAAAAGUUAGCGAGUGUGGUUGAGAGACUUUUCGCUCUGCAGCCCAGCUAUGCAGUCUUAGACUUGUGAUCCUUUGCCUUCUUGCAAGUGCGAUGCUUCCUUUGUGUGGGUACCACUAAGCCUGACUGCCAGACGGUUAAAAACUUUUUGUUGAUUCUUUGUGAAUUCCACAUCAGGAUCCCCAAUCCUACUUAUCUUUAACCCUGUUCCUAUGUAUCCACCCUCUGCCCUUGCAACCUCCCCCAAAAAGAAAAGAAAAAAGAAAAGAAGAAAACAACAACAAUCAACAACUCCCCCCAAAACAUAAAAAAUAUCAUCAUGGAAGUUGUAUUGUGUCACAGUACACACUUGACCACACAUUUUUCCUUGCAAAUGUUCAUUGCAAUGGUCAUUGGUCUGGUUUGAGACCUCUGGCUUCUGCUACACUAUCAAUACUGGAUCCUCACCAGGACUCUUCUUGGAUAUCCUGUUGUUGCCCUGUGUCCUGGAGAUCCUGCAGUUUCAGAUAUGUAGGACUAGGCCUUUUCAUGCACCCAGUAGUUCUUGGAUGGGGUAGAUGUUGGGUGGGCCAACUCAUAGCUCUGGAUCUGGGCCUAGGAGGAGUUGAGUUGGUUAGCCUGCCAGCUCUCCUGCACAGCACCACCAGGGUAAGCUCUCCAGCACUGCUCCAGGUAGCUCAUCCAGUGCUGCAGCUAGCAAGGGGCAGGGUCAGCUCUCCUCUUAUACCCUCAGGUCUGAUGUCUUAGGGUUUAAUUGCUGUGAAGAGACACCAUGACCAGGACAACUCUUUUUUUUUUUUUUUCCAUUUUCUUUUUUCUUCUUCUUGGUUUUCUGCGACAGGGUUUCUCUGUGUAGCCCUGGCUGUCCUGGAACUCACUUUGUAGACCAGGCUGGCCUUGAAUUCAGAAAUUCGCCUACCUCUGCCUCCCAAAUGCUGGAAUUACAGGACAACCCUUAUAAAGGCAAACAUUUAAUUUUGGCUGGCUUACGGUUUCAGAGAUAAAGUCCAUUAUCAUCAUGGCAGAAAGUAUGGCAGCCUGCAGGCAGACAUGGUGCUGGAGAAGGAGCUGAGGGUUCUACAUCUUGGUCUGAAAGCAGCCAGAAGACUCUCUUCAGCAAGCUGCUGGGAGGUGGCUCUCUUCUGCAUGGCCUCUGGUGGUAACAGGGGCAGGGGACAUCGACACAGACCCUGGCUGUGAUAGGACCAUGGACCCAGCCAUGGCAACAGCAUGGGCCCAGAUGUCCCAGUGGCCUUAGGUGGCAGUGCAGGCCACUCAGCACAGACCACAGACAUGUGCUUGGCUUUUGGUGGUAACGCCAGGCACAGGUUUCAACACAGACCUCUCAUGCAGCAGACCCAGACACGGUCCUUUCCUAGAACCUCUCCAUGGCCUCCUCAUAUCCGCCUGUUCCUUACCACCAUCAAGUCCCCAGUUUCAUCUUUAUCUAUAGUAUAUGAACCUCUCUGCUUCAUUCUCUCCCAUCUUCCCACUGUGUACACCAGCUUUCCCAAUUUUUCCAUCACAUAUUUGCCCAUAAUAAUGUGGCACUUGGAGCAAGCUCUUGCAUGUCUUUCUUCUGGCUGGGGUGGCCACUUGGGUGUUUUUCUUCUGGCUGUUCCAGGAUGGCCUGGCUUGAGUGGGCAUUUGGGUGAAUUUCUUCCACCCUCCUCAGGCCAUAGGGACCAGGGUGGGCAUCUUUCUUUGGGCUACCCCAGGCCAGUGGGAAUCAAAUGGGCUGACUUCUAGAUUUAUUUAUUUAUUUGUUUAUUUAUUUUUUUGUAGUGGUGGUCCCUGAGAGCUCUAGGGGUACUGGGUGGUUCAUAUUGUUAUUCCUCCUAUGGGGCUGCAAACCUCUUCAGUUCCUUGGGUCCUUUCUGGAGGACCAAUGGGGACCCUGUGCUCAGUCCAGUGGUUGGCUGAGAGCAUCUGCCUCUGGAUUUGUCAGGUACUGGUAGAGCCUCUCAGGAGACAGCUAUAUCAGGCUCCUGUCAGCAAGCACUUGUUGGCAUCCACAAUAGUGUCUGGGUUUGGUGGUUGUAUAUGGGAUGGCUCCCCAGGUGGGGCAGUCUCUGGAUGGCCUUUCCUUCAGUCUCUGCUCCAUACUUUGUCUCUGUAUCUCCUCCCAUGGGUAUUUUUGUUCCCUCUUCUAAGAAGGAUCAAAGCAUCCAUACUUUGGUCCUCCUUCUUCUAGAGCUUCUGUGGUCUGUGAAUUGUGACUUCUAGAUUUUUAAACAUUCAUCUGCUAAAUACUAGUCAAAUGUAUUUUCAUCUUUAAGUCUGUAGAAUUUAGAGCUUUCAUUUCAGUGACAAUUUGUUCUGGUCUUCAUGUCCCCAGCUCCCCAACUGUCUUCUUCAAGCUUAUAUUUUUCACUGUAAAUAUUAUACUUAAAGUUACCCUUUUAAAGGUGUAUAACAAAUUUCUUAACAUUUUUAACAAGUGUUAUCUUUAAAAUUUUUUUUUAUUUCUUACAAGCUUCUGAAAUCUUCAUAUCUAAUUUAUGAUGCAUCAAAGAUAAUUUAUGUAUUAGGUUUCUGUUCUACUCCUUUCUGUUUUUGUGACAAUAUUUUGGCAAAAAGCUACUUAUAGGAAAAUGUUUUACUUUAGCUCAUAAUUCCAGGUUAUAAUCUGUCACUGUGGGUAAGUCACAAUGACAGGAGCUUGAAGCAGCUUAUUACACUGUAUCCACAGCCAAGACCAGAGAGAAGUAAAUGCAUGUAUGUUCAUAUGUGUAUGUUCAUGCGUGUAUGUUCAUACGUGUAUGUUCAUGCGUGCUUGCUUGUGUUCAGAAACAGAAGCAUGUUCAUGCAUAGCUCAGGAUUUCCUGCCCGUGUGUCAGUGCCUAAAGCAGUGAAUGGAGUUAAGACCAUCCGCCACAGACAUGCUUCCAGGCUAACCCAGAGUAGACUGUUCUCCACUGAGACACUGUUCCCACGGGAUUCUAGCUUAUGUCAGGUUCAUAGUUAAAGCUAGCUAGCACAGUCUUUAAAAAAAAUUCCCUUCUUUAAAAAAAAAAUGUCAAUGGUGGGCUUGAGAGGAGGUUCAGUGUUUAGACAGCAGCUUCUCUUGUAGAGCGCCUGGGUUCUGUUCCUAGCACCCACAUGAUGGCUCACAGCCAUCUGUAACUCCAGUUUCUAGGGGUCAGAUGCCCUCUCCUGACCUUUGUGAACACUGGGCACUCAACUGGCACACAUACAUACAUGCAGGCAGAACGUUCAGACGC